rnacentral:rRNA from 1 species
CACGGGGGGGAGCAAGCGUUGUUCGGAAUCACUGGGCGUAAAGGGUGUGUAGGCGGUUAGGUAAGUGGGAUGUGAAAGCCCUCGGCUCACCCGAGGAUCUGCAUCUCAAACUGCCUGACUUGAGUAUGGGAGAGGAUGAGGGAAUUCCCAGUGUAGCGGUGAAAUGCGUAGAUACUGGGAGGAACACCGGUGGCGAAGGCGGCUACCUGGACCGGUUCUGACGCUGAGGAGCGAAAAGCU